AUGAAUGCCACGGACAGCAACAGCGGCGUCAACGGCAACGACAGCAACAACACGAUCGCGGCCAAGACGAACGCGCACGGCAACAGUAUUCGUUUGCAGAGCGUGAUCGGCAAGCAGAGCAGCUGCGUGCGCAAGAUGAGCACGAUGCCGGAGGAGGAGGAUGCCUCGGACGAUAUGGAUCCUGACGUGAUAAGGAUAGGGCACCAGCAUCAUUACCAGCAUCAUCACGACGCCGAUUCGGAUUCCCCUGUCGAGGAAAGGGGCCGUUUGCUGAGCAUCACCGAUUCGACCCAUCAUCGAAAGAUCGCCAUUACUCCCUCGAGCUCGAGCAACCUCCACCACUGUAACGGUUUGAAGAAGGCCAUCCCCCGUAACGACAGCGGGAACAGCAUCCACGAGAGAGCGUACUCCCGCCUCCAACAAUCGAGAUCCGGGGAUCAGGUCGGUCAACCGGAGGCGAGGCUAUUGCAUCGUGACAAUCCUCAGGGUAUACUCAGAUCGUCCGCUCGGGGAAUCGACUCGCACGGUGGUGGACGAUAUCGUUGCUCGAGCGUGAGAUCGGUGAAAUCUAAUCCGACGAUGGAUGAACACCAUCACCAGUAUCAUCCACCGGCGGCCAGCUGGGCAUCGAUCGUGUUCUCGGACGGAAACGGGCAAACCCACGUCCGCACGCUUCCCGAUUCCGUCUCUAUACGCUCUCUAGCAUCGAUCGGCAUGGGCUCUUCAAACGGGCGGAAGCUCACUAUACGUAGAGUUCUCACUUCGCCGUCGGAGCUGCUUAACAUGGUACAUCCGCCGCCAUCAUUCGAAGAUGACUUGUCCGUAUGUACCAGCUUCGACGAUGCUGAAGAUGACGCUCAGGACCCAGGAGACUACAGACAAUCUAGACGACCACAUUGGGCCAACAAAAUGCAAUUUGUCCUUGCUUGUAUCGGUUACUCUGUUGGCCUCGGUAAUAUUUGGAGGUUUCCUUACCUUUGUUACAAAAGUGGCGGUGGUGUGUUCUUGGUACCUUACUUCUUAAUACUUAUAGUAUGUGGAGUACCAUUAUUGUAUAUGGAACUUAGUAUUGGACAAUUUACACGAAGAGGACCUAUCGGUGCUCUUGGUCAAAUCUGUCCCUUAUUUAAAGGAGCUGGCUUGUCUUCGGUAGUAAUAUCAUUUUUGAUGUCGACUUACCAUAACGUCAUAAUAGCCUACGCUAUAUAUUAUUUCUUUACGGCGUUCAGAGCAAAGCAACCAUGGUCCGACUGCGAAAAUUCAUGGAACACAUUGGCAUGCUGGUUACCUACUUACAGUGGCAUCGAUAAUAGAACAAGACCAAACGCUUCAAGAACUCCAGCCGAAGAAUUUUUCGACAACAAAGUACUCCAAAUUAGUAAUGGAAUCGAAGAAUCAGGGCCAUUAAGAUGGGAACUGAUUGCUUGUCUGAUCACCGCUUGGAUCAUGGUAUAUUUCUCCGUUUGGAAGUCCAUCAAAUCAUCGGCACAAGUGAGAUACCUGACCGCAACUCUGCCAUUUCUUUUAAUCGUCGUCUUCCUCAUGCGGUCCCUUACGCUUGAAGGUGCUGACAAGGGUCUGCAAUUUUUCUUCCACCCUCGUUGGGAACUGCUCGCCGACGCGAAGGUCUGGAUCUAUGCAACCGCUCAAAUUUUCAAUUCCGUGGGCAUAGCGUUUGGUUCGAUGAUAUGUUUCGCGAGUUACAACAAAUUCCAUAACACCAUCCUAAUAGACACUAUGGCUGUUUCACUCAUAAACGGUUUUAGCAGCUUACUUGUUGGAAUAUUUUCAUUUGCUACUAUCGGCAACAUUGCUCUCGAACAAAAUAUGUCUGUCGAAGAUGUUUUAACAGAUGGACCUGGCCUCGUAUUCGUUCUUUACCCGCAAGCGUUAGCCAAGAUGCCAGCAUCGCAAGUGUGGGCCGUGUUAUUUUUCUUUAUGCUAGUCUGCCUUUCUUUGAAUAGUCAGUUUGCAAUAGUGGAAGUUGUUGUAACAUCGAUACAAGAUGGCUUCCCGAAAUGGGUAAAACGUCAUUUAACAUGUCAUGAAAUGUUAGUACUUUUAAUAUGUGUUAUAUCAUUUUUGUUUGGCCUACCUAAUAUUUCACAGGGUGGGAUUUAUUUUUUCCAAUUGAUAGAUCAUUAUGCUGCCUCGAUAUCGAUAAUGUUUUUAGCCUUCUUUGAAGUAAUUGCGAUAUCUUGGUUUUAUGGCGUACGAAGAUUGUGCAAUAAUGUGAAAGAAAUGACAGGACGCGUACCAUCUUCGUAUUUUCGAUUUUGUUGGCUCAUCGCUGCACCUUUUCUUAUCAUGGCUGUGUGGGUAUUCAGUUUAAUUGAUUAUGAACCACCGACCUACCACAAUGGUGAGUACAAGUACCCGUGGUGGGCAGAGGCGAUCGGCUGGGGAAUAGCCUCUCUUUCGCUCAUUUGCAUUCCCGCUUUCGCUAUCUACGAGUUCAUCAGAGCCAACGGGAACACUUGUGCAGAGAAAUUACGGAACUCUAUUAAGCCGCAUUUCGAAGCGUGUAAAAUUUGCGGCCAAGAAUACUGUAACGAGUCCAUGCACAAUUUCGAAGAGGAUAUGAUUAAAGAACAACAGGACGCGAAUAGUCCCAUACAAUUGAGCAUCAGCCCCCCUCUGUCAAAAUCCCAGACGUAAAGCUAUAAAGUUAAUUCGAAAACACGGCUAUCUUUUAUAUAUAUAUAUAUAUAUAUAUAUAUAUAUAUAUAUA
rnacentral:misc_RNA from 1 species